GAAGACAGGACGCCUCCACACAUUCAUCCACCUCCACCGCUGCUCUUCACCACUUCACCUCCUCUACUCCAGUCUCCAGUGAUCUGAUGAUCUGAUUGGCUGAGGCAGGUGGAGCUGCAGGUGUUUCCACCACAGAAGAAGAGAAGGAAAAGGAGGGAAGGAACCAACGAAGAAGAAAGCUGAGAGAGACAGCUGAGGUUCAUCUGGACAGCAAACACCUCCAGGACUUCCAGGACCUCCAGGAUCUAUCACAAUCUGUCCUGAGCAUGUCGUCGUCUCAGAGCACAUCUGGACCCAAACAUCUGUGUCUGUGGCUCCACCAUUUCUCCUCACCCUCCCCUCCCCCUCCUCCUCCUCCUCUUCCUCUCCCUGUCAGCUGUGGCGUCCCCUCCUCUCGCCCGGCAUCUCGGCGUCUCCCCCUGCUGGUCGUCCCGCUGCUCUGCAGUGUGCUGCUGAUGCUGCUGCUGCUGCUGUGGAACUACCACUGCCUGUUCAUCUCCAACAUCUGCUCCCCACCGGAGGAGGUGCAGCAGGAGGAGGGGAAGGAGGGAGGGACCAUCGUGACCACGUGGCAGUGAUGGUGGCGCCGCUCACACCUCCUGGAACCAGUCUGAACCGACUCAGUCCUGAAGAAACCAGAUAGAGAAGAUAAAGUUUGUCAGAGUUUAGAUUUUACAACUACAAAACUACAGAAACUCAAAACUACAAAACUACAAAACUACAAACUUACAGAAACUCAAAACUACAAAAACUACAAAACUACAAAAACUACAAAACUACAGAAACUCAAAACUACAAAACUACAAACUUACAGAAACUCAAAACUACAAAACUACAAAAACUCAAAACUACAAAAACUACAAAACUACAAAAACUACAAAACCACAUAAAGUCUUACAGAGAUGAUUUAACGGGAGAAGACGAGGACUGUCCACAUUAAAAUAUGAUCUGGAUGUUUCUCCUCCGCAGUCGUUGUUGUUGAGCAGCAGGUGGAGACAUCCUGACUCUUUGUCCACAAACACUGGCUCCUACAUUUCCCAUGAUGCACCUGGAUAUAGUUUUUUUUUGUACAUUUCUGAAAAGUUUUAAUGGGUUGAAACCAAGGAAUCUGUCAAAUAAAAAUAAGAAUAUAAAAAGAUAAAAAUAGGCAAAAUGUUCCUUGGUUUCAACGCAGACUGAUGACAUCACUGUGACAUCAUCAGGGUUAUUUUUCCUCCAGUGUAAAAAAAAAAAAAGUGUUUACAAAAUAAAAGCUCCUCGAUCACUUUGCCUGUCUGGUUUUAU